rnacentral:rRNA from 1 species
CCUUCGGGAGGCAGCAGUGGGGAAUAUUGCACAAUGGGGGAAACCCUGAUGCAGCAACGCCGCGUGAGUGAAGAAGUAUUUCGGUAUGUAAAGCUCUAUCAGUAGGGAAGAAGAUUACGGUACCUGAGUAAGAAGCUCCGGCUAACUACGUUCCAGCAGCCGCGGUAAUAUGUAGGGGGCAGGCGUGAUCCGGAUUUACUGGGUGGAAAGGGAGCGUAGACGGUGGGACAAGUCUGAAGUGAAAGCCCGGGGCUCAACCCCGGGACUGCUUUGGAAACUGCCUGACUGGAGUGCUGGAGAGGCAAGCGGAAUUCCUAGUGUAGCGGUGAAAUGCGUAGAUAUUAGGAAGAACACCAGUGGCGAAGGCGGCUUGCUGGACAGUAACUGACGUUGAAGCUCGAAGGCGUGGGGAGCAAACAGGAUUAGAUACCCUUGUAGUC